rnacentral:piRNA from 1 species
UGGCUUUACUAUUAUCUACAGUUGUUUUAG